UAUGUGAUCGUCUCUCGCAUAUCAAUAAGCGGAGGAAAAGAAACUAACAAGGAUUCCCCUAGUAACGGCGAGUGAAGCGGGAAGAGCUCAAAUUUGAAAUCUUAAAGGGUUUCCCUUUACGAAUUGUAGUUUAAAGAAGUGUUUUCUGUUGAGGUUUUGGUAAAAGUUCUUUGGAAUAGGACAUCAUAGAGGGUGAGAAUCCCGUAUUUGACCUUUACUUUCAACUUUGUGAUACACUUUCAAAGAGUCGGAUUGUUUGGGAAUGCAGUCCAAAAUGGGUGGUAAAUUUCAUCUAAAGCUAAAUAUUGGCGAGAGACCGAUAGCGAACAAGUACCGUGAGGGAAAGAUGAAAAGAACUUUGAAAAGAGAGUUAAACAGUACGUGAAAUUGUCAAAAGGGAAGCGUUUGACACCAGUGUUGUUUUUCUGAAAAUCAAUUAAAGGACUGUUUAUGCUAAGCUGUUUAGACUUUAUCAGCUAACUGUUUAGUUUUGAGCUUUUCUUUAAUGCACUUUUCAGUUAACAAGUCAACAUCAAUUUCUUUUGCUGUAAAAAAGCUUGAGGAAGGUGGCUUGAGAUUCGUCUUAAGUGUUUAUAGCCUCUUGCCUAUGCAGUCGGAGAGAUUGAGGUCUGCAGCGUAGAUCCUUCGGGGCUAAAUGCAUUUGUGCUAAGUUAUAGCAUUUUACAGACAACUUGUUGACUAUGAUUUGUCUUGUAGCUUACUCGCUUAUGUUAUUUUACCUACGCUUAGGAUGUUGAACGCGCACAGAGUCUC
rnacentral:rRNA from 1 species